rnacentral:rRNA from 1 species
AUUGAACGCUGGCGGCAGGCUUAACACAUGCAAGUCGAGCGGGGUGAUGGUGCUUGCACUAUCACUUAGCGGCGGACGGGUGAGUAAUGCUUAGGAAUCUGCCUAUUAGUGGGGUACAACAUCUCGAAAGGGAUGCUAAUACCGCAUACGUCCUACGGGAGAAAGCAGGGGAUCACUUGUGACCUUGCGCUAAUAGAUGAGCCUAGGUCGGAGUAGCUAGUUGGUGGGGUAAAGGCCUACCAAGGCGACGAUCUGUAGCGGGUCUGAGAGGAUGAUCAGCCACACUGGGCAUGCGACACGGCCCAGACUCCUACGGGAGGAAGCAGUGGGGAAUAUUGGGCAAUGGGGGGAACCCUGAUCCAGCCAUGCCGCGUGUGUGAAGAAGGCCUUAUGGUUGUAAAGCACUUUAAGCGAGGAGGAGGCUCUUUUGGUUAAUACCCAAGAUGAGUGGACGUUACUCGCAGAAUAAGCACCGGCUAACUCUGUGCCAGCCGCCGCGGUAA